AUUCUUGUACAAAAGGACGAUUUGUUGGACUAAUGGGAGACGUGGAUAGAUGUGAAUCAAUCAACGCCCUCCAUUUGUCCCGAUUGUUCAAAAAUCUGAACAUUUUCGGAUAUUUGAGAAGAAGAUUCGAGAAUUUUCGAGGGUUUAUAUAUAGGAGGUAAGUCUUCUUUUUAGGGGAGAAGAAAAAAUUAGAAAAUAAAUCAGGAAUAAAUCUUCAGAAAAAAAUCGAGUCAAGUUUCUAGGGUUUGAAGUCACCAUUUUCUUCAAGCCAUUCUUUCUUCAGUCUUUUUAAAAAAAAAAACAAUAUGGUCUAAGUUCGAUUUCGAUUUAAACUUUUUUGUAGUUCAUUUUUCAGAAGAAAAAAUCGAGGAAGAAAUCGGAGCACUGGUUUUUCUUCUUGAGUUCUGGUUCUAAAAAGAAUUUGAUUUAAAAGUUCAGUUUGGAGUUGAGUUUUAGAGUUCAAAGUUUCAGUGUUGAUUUUGUUCAGGCUCGCCGAUUCAUAUCUCUUGCUGCUCCUUUCUAGCUUUUUGUCUUAGGCUCAUUUUUGUUUGUUUCUGGUGUUUCAUUGUUGCUUGCUGCAUUAGGUAUGCAAAAAUAACAUGUGAUUCUCUUUUUUUAAAAUAUAAAAUGAUGUUCUUAAUUAUUCGAUUCUAUGACCAUGCCUAUUGUUUGAGUUUUUGACGUAUUUGUUUGGUUCCCUAUGUCGAUUAUGCCUUCUGUCAGUUGUUCUUGUCAAAGCU
rnacentral:lncRNA from 1 species